rnacentral:rRNA from 1 species
GUGAACUCCACAUACGCAUCCUUUGCUGAGGAUACGGUUAACGGAGCGAAAGCGACGUUCAACCUCAAAAGAAGCAGAGGGGGCUUAGUGGUGGGGUGACUGCGUACCUUUUGUAUAAUGGGUCAGCGACUUAUAUUCUGUAGCAAGGUUAACCGAAUAGGGGAGCCGGAGGGAAACCGAGUCUUAAUUGGGCGUUAAGUUGCAGGGUAUAGACCCGAAACCCGGUGAUCUAGCCAUGGGCAGGUUGAAGGUUGGGUAACACUAACUGGAGGACCGAACCGACUAAUGUUGAAAAAUUAGCGGAUGACCUGUGGCUGGGGGUGAAAGGCCAAUCAAACCGGGAGAUAGCUGGUUCUCCCCGAAAGCUAUUUAGGUAGCGCCUCGUGAAUUCAUCUCCGGGGGUAGAGCACUGUUUCGGCUAGGGGGCCAUCCCGGCUUACCAACCCGAUGCAAACUGCGAAUACCGGAGAAUGUUAUCACGGGAGACACACGGCGGGUGCUAACGUCCGUCGUGAAGAGGGAAACAACCCAGACCGCCAGCUAAGGUCCCAAAGUCAUGGUUAAGUGGGAAACGAUGUGGGAAGGCCCAGACAGCCAGGAUGUUGGCUUAGAAGCAGCCAUCAUUUAAAGAAAGCGUAAUAGCUCACUGGUCGAGUCGGCCUGCGCGGAAGAUGUAACGGGGCUAAACCAUG